GACAGAGGCCUCGAGCGUUAGGCGGAAUCACUGGGCUUAAAGCGUGUGUAGGCGGACCGUUAAGUACCUUGUGAAAUCCCACGGCUCAACCGUGGAACGGCUGGGUAUACUGGCGGUCUUGAGCCACCUAGGGGCGAGCGGAACAAGCGGUGGAGCGGUGAAAUGCGUAGAUAUCGCUUGGAACGCCAAUGGUGAAAACAGCUCGCUGGGGGUGUGCUGACGCUGAGACACGAAAGCCAGGGGAGCGAACGGG
rnacentral:rRNA from 1 species